rnacentral:rRNA from 1 species
GGGGGGGGGGGGUAAAACAUGCAGUCGAACGGCAGUCGCGAGAGAGCUUGCUACUCUUGGCGGCGAGCUUCGGCUCUCAGCGGCGGACGGGUGAGUAAUAUAUCGGAACGUGCCCAGUAGCGGGGGAUAACUACUCGAAAGAGUGGCUAAUACCGCAUACGCCCUACGGGGGAAAGGGGGGGAUCGCGAGACCUCGCGCUAUUGAAGCGGCCGAUAUCGGAUCAGCUUGUUGGUGGGGUGAUGGCCUACCAAGGCGACGACGGGUAGCCGGCCUGAGAGGGCGACCGGCCACACUGGGACUGAGACACGGCCCAGACUCCUACGGGAGGCAGCAGUGGGGAAUAUUGCGCAAUGGGCGGAAGCCUGACGCAGCGACGCCGCGUGGGGGAUGACGGCCUUCGGGUUGUAAACCUCUUUCAGCAAAAAAAAAAAGGUAUCCCCUAAUACGGGAUACUGCUGACGGUACCUGCAGAAGAAGCACCGGCCAACUACGUGCCAGCAGCCGCGGUAAUACGUAGGAUGCAAGCGUUGUCCGGAAUUAUUGGGCGUAAAGAGCUCGUAGGCGGCCUGUUGCGUCGGCUGUGAAAACCCGGGGCUCAACUCCGGGCCUGCAGUCGAUACGGGCAGGCUAGAGUCCGGCAGGGGAGACUGGAAUUCCUGGUGUAGCGGUGAAAUGCGCAGAUAUCAGGAGGAACACCGGUGGCGAAG